UACGUAGGCAGCGAGCGUUGUUCGGAUUUACUGGGCGUAAAGAGCGCGCAGGCGGCGCGUUUAAGACAGGUGUGAAAGCCCCGAGCUUAACUUGGGAAUUGCGCUUGUGACUGGCGUGCUGGAGUGUGGCAGAGGGAGGUGGAAUUCCACGUGUAGCAGUGAAAUGCGUAGAGAUGUGGAGGAACACCGAUGGCGAAGGCAGCCCCCUGGGAUAACACUGACGCUCAUGCACGAAAGCGUGGGGAGCAAACAGG
rnacentral:rRNA from 1 species